AGUGAACGCUGGCGGUAGGCCUAACACAUGCAAGUCGAACGGCAGCACAGUAAGAGCUUGCUCUUACGGGUGGCGAGUGGCGGACGGGUGAGGAAUAUAACGGAAUCUACUUUUUCGUGGGGGUUAACGAAGGUAAACUUACGCUAAUACCGCAUACGACCCACGGGUGAAAGCAGGGGAUCUUCGGACCUUGCGCGAAUGAAUGAGCCGCUGUCGGGUUAGCUAGUUGGCGGGGUAAUGGCCCACCAAGGCGGCGAUCCGUAGCUGGUCGGAGAGGAUGGUCAGCGACACUGGAACUGAGACACGGUCCAGACUCCUACGGGAGGCAGCAGUGGGGAAUAUUGGGCAAUGGGCGCAAGCCUGAUCCAGCCAUACCGCGUGGGUGAAGAAGGCCUUCGGGUUGUAAAGCCCUUUUGUUGGGAAAGAAAAGCAGCAGGUUAAUACCCCGCUGUUCUGACGGUACCCAAUGAAUAAGCACCGGCUAACUUCGUG
rnacentral:rRNA from 1 species